AUUUUAUUCCAGGGCACUUUGGUGGGAACCCUUCAAAACUUUCAAUUCAGAACAGCACCUAUGUCAUAAGCACUUCAUAAAGUCCCGAUUAAAUUGCCCCAUUCUGUGGGACACAGCUACAGCCUUGAAGGUAAUCAUUUGCUUCAAUGCUUUGCUGAAUUAGGAUGCACUUUGAGCCAAGCAUGGGCCUAAAAUCUAUGUCAAACAGCCUUAAUAUUUAGCAGGCCAUGCUGUUUGUCACACAAAAUCUUUUGCCAUUUAAGUUGUGGUAUUGGUUUGAGCUUUGGAAAAAAGGGUCUUCUAGCAUGUUCUUCCAAAAAUGAUAUCCAAGAACACUGUCUGGAGGCAGUGUGGGGGAUUAUUUCAGAAGCAGACUUCUGCAGAAUGUGAUAUAUUUCUUAUUUCUCUCGAUCUGCUCUCAGGUCGUGCUGCUGCUGUUGUGCGUCUGAGUCCCAGCGCUGGAAAUGAAAAGGUUCAGAGAAUCCUGACACCAAGGAGAGGCACAAAGCUGCACUCUGCUCAUGACAGCUUCUCUUUACACCACAGCUUUUCCUCUGAGCAUGUUCCAGUGUCUCUGCACUCCCAGUCCACCUGCAGCAGCCAGGGCCAGGCUCUCGUAGCCUGGCUCUCCUGCUGGGAGCUUCUCAGAGCACGAGCCGCCUCCUUUCCAGCAGAUCGCAGGUGUUCUCCACAUGGCGUGAGCAGUUUUUUUACAGAGUGAAGAUCUUUCUGUUACUGGAUCUCAGCAGCACCAGCUGGGAUUGCUUAAAGAGAUGCCAUGGUAAGAUUCACUGCAAAGCACAGGUGGAGA
rnacentral:lncRNA from 1 species